rnacentral:pre_miRNA from 1 species
GUAGUCGGAUUCGCAUCAAUCCAUAUGUUGGGGUGGGUUGGAGUGAAACUUGAACUAAAUUCCAUCCCAAUCCACUCCAACACACGUGGAUUGAGGCCAAACA